rnacentral:lncRNA from 1 species
GAGAGCCGAGGUACUAAUACGGUGCUUGUGUGAAUAAAAUGUAAGGAAUUUUGUGACGCCGAAAAACAGUCCCUGAAACCCGAGGAAAGGAGGACAGAACCAAUUAGCCACCACGGUCGCGUCACCGGCCGCCGCUCGUCUCCCUCCGCCUAUAAACCGCGCACCCACACACGGCCACACGGCACCACACCAACACAGACGCACGCCACAGGAGAGACCGCGCGCACGCUCUCUGGCGACGGCACGGCGGAGCCACCACCUCCACCUGAGACUCUGGCGCCGGNN